rnacentral:rRNA from 1 species
CCUACGGGAGGCAGCAGUGGGGAAUAUUGGACAAUGGGCGAAAGCCUGAUCCAGCCAUGCCGCGUGUGUGAAGAAGGUCUUCGGAUUGUAAAGCACUUUAAGCUGGGAGGAAGGGCAGUAAGUUAAUACCUUGCUGUUUUGACGUUACCAACAGAAUAAGCACCGGCUAACUCCGUGCCAGCAGGCGCGGUAAAU